AACCCCAUCGACCGGAAGGAAUUCCUUCCGAUCAAUGAGGUGGAACAGCCUCAUCGACCGGAAGGAAUCCCUUCUGGCCGAUGAGGCC
rnacentral:miRNA from 1 species